UACGAAGGGGGCUAGCGUUGUUCGGAAUUACUGGGCGUAAAGCGCACGUAGGCGGACAUUUAAGUCAGGGGUGAAAUCCCAGAGCUCAACUCUGGAACUGCCUUUGAUACUGGGUGUCUUGAGUAUGGAAGAGGUGAGUGGAACUCCGAGUGUAGAGGUGAAAUUCGUAGAUAUUCGGAAGAACACCAGUGGCGAAGGCGGCUCACUGGUCCGGUACUGACGCUGAUGUGCGAAAGCGUGGGGGAGCAAACAGG
rnacentral:rRNA from 1 species